GGAAAUAGCUCAGUGGUAGAGCGCACGCUUAGCAUGCAUGAGGUCCUGGGUUCAAUCCCCAGUACUUCCA
rnacentral:tRNA from 1 species